rnacentral:rRNA from 1 species
AUGGGGGGAACCCUGACCGAGCAACGCCGCGUGAGUGAAGAAGGUUUUCGGAUCGUAAAGCUCUGUUGUUAAGGAAGAACGAGUGUGAGAAUGGAAAGUUCAUACUGUGACGGUACUUAACCAGAAAGGGACGGCUAACUACGUGCCAGCAGCCGCGGUAAUACGUAGGUCCCGAGCGUUGUCCGGAUUUAUUGGGCGUAAAGCGAGCGCAGGCGGUUAGAAAAGUCUGAAGUGAAAAGCAGUGGCUCAACCAUUGUAGGCUUUGGAAACAGUUUAACUUGAGUGCAGAAGGGGAGAGUGGAAUUCCAUGUGUAGCGGUGAAAUGCGUAGACAUAUGGAGGAACACCGGUGGCGAAAGCGGCUCUCUGGUCUGUAACUGACGCUGAGGCUCGAAAGCGUGGGGAGCGAACAGGAUUAGAUACCCUGGUAGUCCACGCCGUAAACGAUGAGUGCUAGGUGUUAGGUCCUUUCCGGGACUUAGUGCCGCAGCUAACGCAUUAAGCACUCCGCAUGGGGAGUACGACCGCAAGGUUGAAACUCAAAGGAAUUGACGGGGGCCCGCACAAGCGGUGGAGCAUGUGGUUUAAUUCGAAGCAACGCGAAGAACCUUACCAG